AUUGAACGCUGGCGGCAUGCCUUACACAUGCAAGUCGAACGGCAGCACGGGAGCAAUCCUGGUGGCGAGUGGCGAACGGGUGAGUAAUAUAUCGGAACGUGCCCAGUCGUGGGGGAUGACGUAGCGAAAGCUACGCUAAUACCGCAUACGAUCUAAGGAUGAAAGCGGGGGAUCGAAAGACCUCGCGCGAUUGGAGCGGCCGAUAUCAGAUUAGCUAGUUGGUGAGGUAAAGGCUCACCAAGGCGACGAUCUGUAGCUGGUCUGAGAGGACGACCAGCCACACUGGGACUGAGACACGGCCCAGACUCCUACGGGAGGCAGCAGUGGGGAAUUUUGGACAAUGGGCGCAAGCCUGAUCCAGCAAUGCCGCGUGCAGGAUGAAGGCCUUCGGGUUGUAAACUGCUUUUGUACGGAACGAAACGGCGAGCUCUAAUACAGUUUGCUGAUGACGGUACCGUAAGAAUAAGCACCGGCUAACUACGUGCCAGCCGCCGCCGUAA
rnacentral:rRNA from 1 species